GGCAAUAGCUCAAAUUUGAAAUCUGGCACUUUCAGUGUCCGAGUUGUAAUUUGAAGAAGGUAUCUUUGGGUCUAGCUCUUGUCUAUGUUUCUUGGAACAGAACGUCACAGAGGGUGAGAAUCCCGUGCGAUGAGAUGUCUAGAUCUAUGUAAAGUUCCUUCGAAGAGUCGAGUUGUUUGGGAAUGCAGCUCUAAGUGGGUGGUAAAUUCCAUCUAAAGCUAAAUAUUGGCGAGAGACCGAUAGCGAACAAGUACAGUGAUGGAAAGAUGAAAAGAACUUUGAAAAGAGAGUGAAAAAGUACGUGAAAUUGUUGAAAGGGAAGGGCUUGAGAUCAGACUUGGUAUUUUGUAUGUUACUCUCUCGGGGGUGGCCUCUACAGUUUACCGGGCCAGCAUCAGUUUGAGCGGUAGGAGAAUUGCGUAGGAAUGUGGCUCGGCCUCGGUCGAGUGUUAUAGCCUUCGUCGAUACUGCCAGCUUAGACUGAGGACUGCGGCUUCGGCCUAGGAUGUUGGCAUAAUGAUCUUAAGUCGCCCGUCUUGAAA
rnacentral:rRNA from 1 species